rnacentral:rRNA from 1 species
UACGUAGGGUGCGAGCGUUAAUCGGAGUUACUGGGCGUAAAGAGUGCGUAGGCGGCCGCGCAAGUCGAGUGUGAAAGCCCCGGGCUUAACUUGGGAAUUGCGCUCGAAACUACGUGGCUGGAGUGUGGCAGAGGAAGGUGGAAUUCCAGGUGUAGCGGUGAAAUGCGUAGAGAUCUGGAGGAACACCGAUGGCGAAGGCAGCCUUCUGGGCCAGCACUGACGCUCAUGCACGAAAGCGUGGGGAGCAAACAGG